rnacentral:rRNA from 1 species
UACGAAGGGGGCUAGCGUUGCUCGGAAUCACUGGGCGUAAAGCGCACGUAGGCGGAUUGUUAAGUCAGGGGUGAAAUCCUGGAGCUCAACUCCAGAACUGCCUUUGAUACUGGCGAUCUUGAGUCCGGGAGAGGUGAGUGGAACUCCGAGUGUAGAGGUGAAAUUCGUAGAUAUUCGGAAGAACACCAGUGGCGAAGGCGGCUUCCUGGUCUGUAACUGACACUGAGGCGCGAAAGCGUGGGGAGCAAACAGG